rnacentral:rRNA from 1 species
AUGGCUGCUCCGGCGAAGGCAUCGUGGAUGGUGGCCAUGAGCGUGGGCGCCGUGGAGGCCCUCAAGGACCAAGCCGGGCUCUGCCGCUGGAACUAUGCCCUCAAGUCCAUCCACCGGGCAGCCAAGGCCAACGUCUGCGGCGGCAUCUCGCAGGGCACCAAGCAGCUUCUGGCCUCCGCGUCGGCCGUGGCGGAGCGGCGGCGAGCGGAGAAGGCCGAGGAGGGGCUGAGGACCGUGAUGUACCUCAGCUGCUGGGGCCCAAAUUAG